rnacentral:tRNA from 1 species
AGCCUUAUAGUUGAUACACAACAUUAAGCUGCAAACUUAAAAGAGUAAUGUACUGAGGCUU